GACGUAGGAUGCAAGCGUUGUCCGGAUUUAUUGGGCGUAAAGAGUUCGUAGGUGGUUUGUUAAGUCUGGUGUUAGAUACUGAAGCUCAACUUCGGAACUGCACUGGAUACUGGCAGACUUGAGUACGGUAGAGGCGAGCGGAAUUCCCAGUGUAGCGGUGAAAUGCGUAGAUAUUGGGAAGAACACCGGUGGCGCAAGCGGCUCGCUGGGCCGUUACUGACACUGAGGAACGAAAGCUAGGGGAGCAAAUGGG
rnacentral:rRNA from 1 species